GACGAACGCUGGCGGCGUGCUUAACACAUGCAAGUCGAACGGUGAAGCGCUUUCCUUUUUGGCUGGUGUGGGGGAGUGGCGGACGGGUGAGUAACACGUGAGUAACCUGCUCCCUUCUGCUGGAUAACGGCAUGAAAGUGUGGCUAAUACGGGAUAUUCUGGGUCGGUGGCAUGAUGGGUCUGGCAAAGCUAUUGUUUCGGAGGGGGAUGGGCUCGCGGCCUCUCAGCUUGUUGGUGGGGUGAUCGCCUACCAAGGCGGUGACGGUUGGCCGGCCUGAGGGGGUGGACGGUCAGACUGGGACUGAGGCACGGGCCAGACUCGUGCGGGAGGAGGCAGUGGUGAAUGUUGCACAGUGGGCGCAAGCCUGAUGCAGCGACGCCGCGUGAGGAAGGGAGGCCUUCGGGUUGUCAACCUUGUUGGGCAGGAAAAGAGGCCGGCUUCGAUUGUGCGGGGGUUGACGGUAGCAGAAUAAGAAGCGCCGGCUAAUUACGU
rnacentral:rRNA from 1 species